CAGAGCUGUGACUGUGGAGCCAUCAAGGCUGAGAGGACAGAGAAGCCACCGGCUGCUGCUCAGAACUGGGAAGGAACUGUGGACACUGCCAGGUGCCACAAGGUGAAUAGGCCUCCUCCUGCAUAUGCCCUUCUUAGGAAGCACUGUGCUACCAAAGGCCCAAGGCAACAAGCCCAAUACAGCUCAGAGGCUAAGAACAAUGGCUGCUCUUACAGGGGACCCUGGUUCAAUUCCCAGCAUCCUCAUGUUCUUGUGGGUAAAACUAUCUUUGAAUCCUCUCAAGAAAUCUGAAGAUGGCUUGUGGUCUGCAUUCUUCUUGGAUACCUACGACAGAAAAUCUUACUAGCAAGCACCCCACAACCAGAGGAGCUGGAGGGAAUGGAGGACACAAGGAGAACACAACACACAGAAUCAACUAAGCAGGGCUCAUAGUGGCACUCACGGAGCCUCCAUGGGUCUGUGCUAGGUCCCCCGCGAGUGAGCCUGAAAUAUUUUACAAAACCAGAAAGAGGAUUGAAGAUCACUCAGUCGCUUUCAAAGCUCUGCUACGUGUUAAAGCAUGGCAGCACGCUUCUGGAUAAUGUCAUCUCGAUAAAGUUUGCUUUAAGUGGAGAGUUGUGCACUGAAUGUUCCAAAUACCUAGAGAAGAAAGAGCCUGUACAUACAUGUGACAACUUUUAACAUAUGAAGUUUUCUUUGCCUUUAUGUUGCAAAUGGACUGCUUUUAAGAUGAAUUUAUCCAUUGUAAGACCAUGGACUAUUUUUUGUACUGUGGCCUGAUUUUAAAGGACCCUCACUGUUCUUGGAGUUUACACUUGUGUUAAAAUAACAGUGUAUGGAAAAUUGAUUUGGCUAUGCACUAUACAUCAAAGUAAUUCCUAGUACAGUAAGAUUGACAUUAUAAUUGGUAACAUUUAUGUUGCUAAGGCGAUUCUCAUUUUUAACACAUGAAAUGCAGUAUAACACCCCUCUUCCUUUAUCUCUAUUAUUUAUUUAUUUAUUUAUUUAUUUAUUUAUUUAGUGUUUGUGUGCUCAUAUGUGAGCACACCUACUAUGGGUCAUAUGUGGGAAUCAGAGGGCAAUUUGUAGGAGUGAGUUCACUCAGUGUAUCAGGUAGGUUUUGGGGAUUGAACUCAAGUCCUUUAGGUUGGCAGCAGGCACCUUUACCAUCUCAGUGCCCUCCUCUCCCGUGUUGUGAAUAUGGUCACUGCUAACUGAAUGGUGCUGUCAACUACAUAGCCCUGUACUCUUAACCCUGGUCAAGGCUACAUCACAGGUCAGAAAUAGAGCUGUGAAAGUAUGUGACAAUGCAAUACACACGUGCAGACUCACACAUGCAUGUGUGCUUGUGCACACACCCACACCCACAGUUUUUUUCUUACUUUGCAAAGUGAGGACUUAUCAACAAGAAAAUAAUGUUGUUAUGUGAUUAUCGUCAUUUAAGUAAGUAAUCCUUUGACAUUUUUAUCAUAGUAAUUUUCAAAUAUGUAAAAAUGGAGAGAUGGGUAACCCACAGUUGCACCCCUGCCAUUCUAGUCUUUGCCUGUUAGCUAAGAUUCUAAUCCACUGUCAUUCUUGUUUGAAUUCAUGAUUGUUUCUGUAUACUUCUAUAUGGACAUGCCUUGCACAGUUUCCUGAUAAUUUUGAACAGAAUACUAGACAUUGGAGAAUUUUAUCAGCAACUAAUUCAACUUGUGUAUCUAAAUGAUAAAAAAUUUCUUGAGCUUGCAAGAAAUUAUCCUUAUAAAUAUAAAAAACUUUAAAACCUGACAGAAAUUUAUUGAUAUUAACUACUAUCCAGCAUGUGCCUUAUUCUCCACGUUAGAUUGAUUCAUUUGAAUUAAUUUCCAAGCAAGUUUUCCCCAGGAAUUUGGUUUUAUAGAUGGGGCUUGUUUCUUCUAAUUUACAGAUUUUCUGUACCCUUUUUUUCUGUUUGCAAUGUAUUUGUUGAAGAAACCAUACCAUUUGCCUUGUUGAGUUUCCUGAAUUUCUUUUAUUUGUCUAAGUGCUUCUUUGUGGUAUAAUUUAACAUGAACUUUCUUGCACUGAAAAGUGCUAAAUAGAACUAAAGGCUUUGGGUUGCUUUGUUCAGCAUCCUUUAUUAGCUUUUGGAGUCCAAUGAUUUUGUCCUGUGCAUGUAUGUGCAGUUAUGAAAAUUAGCUUUAUUGGGAUAGAGUAAUGUACCAUUAAGCAAUACAUAAUUUAUAAGACAAAAAAUAUAAUAUUUUUUUUCACUG